UUUAACAGUAAUGUGUUUUUGCAGAGUUCACAGGUGCUUAUUCUUUAAGUAAACAACCCUUGAAAUACAUACACAUGCAAUCGACUGGCCGCAUAGUGACUGUCUUCCUGUCAGUGCUUUGUUCUGUUUCCUUCAAGGUUUAUGAUCAAAGUGUGCAGAAAAGGCCAUCAGCACCUCAAUUAAAUUAGUUUGAGAUGUAGCACAGCCAUUGGCGACCACAGCUUCAGUCCUGCCCGCGGUGCAUGUGUGUAUGUCUGUCAGAGCGAGUGCAUGUAAACACACACAUGAGGGCUUAGCUUUGCCCCUAUAGAGAGGUGACAGCAAAAACACUUGUCACUUUCUGCAUUGUCAGCAGUGUUGCUAGUGUUCCUGACACUCCAUCAUAUGUUUUUUGGGCUGGUCCGUGGGAAUGGGCAGGAAUAGCUUCCUCUAUCAGUUAGUUCACACAGGAUCCUGUCACCUUCCUCAUCACACACCUAACCGCUGCCAUUCUUAUCCCAGCAGGGUCCAUGGAGAUCUGCAUGCCACUAUAUGGAUACUGUCCAUACUGACCACAGGACCAGAAGCCCAGAGCACUGCAUGGGGCACCACAGAUAAGGGCACUCUGCUGCCUGAAAGCUUAAAACAGAGACUCAAAACAGUCUCAGUUAAGUCUCAGCAUCCUGGCAUUGUGAGGAUGACCUAAACCUUGGGCCGACAGAAGCGUGAAGACCAUGGAUUCUUGUGCCAUUUACAACAUCACCGUUCCACUCCAGACAAAUGAAUGAUGGCUGUGAUCCCAGAUGUGCUGCAGUCAUAAGGAUAAAGGGCCGGGGCUGUCACAGGGGCUUUUAUAGACGAUGGAUGUCACAAGUGUCAGACUAAAUAAACGGAGGGCAGCUCUGCUUAUUUGUAUGGCGUUAACAGGCGCGCAAAACCCCAAAGAGCCAUGAAAGAGCCGGGCCGCCACCCAACAAGCAGCCAUUCAGCAAAUGAAAAUAAACAGUCCAGAGGGAAGCUCUCCCACCCUCCCGGACCCUCGGCCUGACCCGGAGCGUGUGUUUUCGAGAGAGAAGCUGCUCAUGAGAUGGAGAGAGAGAGAGAGUGAUGCUGCAGAUGAUGAGGAUGAUGGCUGAGGUCGCUCUGUAAUGGGAGCUAUACUGUGCUCUGCAACAUAAAGGCCUGCAAAAAACCUCAUUGUCAUCGCCAGAAAAACAGGAGACAGCCAUCCAGUUGUAAAAAUUUGCUGACAAGGAACAUUGUCUCUGUUAGAGUCGAGAGGAUAAAUGUGAAGAUUGAUUCAAGUCAUUAGGCUCAACAUAAUCAGAUCACUCCCGGCAAUUCAUAGCUCCUCGGGCUUCUUGAGUGAUGCAGACAAUUGAAAAUAAUUUUCUCCCUACAUCACACGCAUGCCAAAUUGUUAAAAGGAAUGAAGAAUAAUUUUCUCCUUUUUACUAAAUUAAUCCACAUCUCACAGCA